GUUUAGCUACUGGCAGCUUUGGAUCCAUAACGUGGGCCUACGAGAGGCACAACAACUUCCGCGGCAACUCCGCCGCCGGCGGCCGGUCCCGGUCCCGGCGUUCCGCUGCACUCCCACAGUCCCACCUCUGCGUCCGCGGGGACGGGGUAGCCCUACUGAGCUUCGCAGCCUAACAAGUUUCUUGCCACCAGGUAGGCGCUUCCUACCUGCGGUUCCCUCGUUUCAGGAUGCUGGAUUUUGCAUCCUGCUAGCACUGGCUCUGGCUCUGGCUUUGAGCGAGCAAUAAGGUAACUAGCCAACCCACGGGACCCCUUACUCUGUUUUAUUUUGCCAACAUUCGUCACUCUAUUCUUCAAUCUGCCUGAUUCUGAGUAGACAUUAUUGCUUUCGUGGGAUCCUUUCCGCCUGAGGUGCUCGCAGGCAAAGGUUUAUUUUUUUUCUCUCAGGAGACAAAAACGUUCCUCUGAAUGUUGCUGUGGCUUUGGAGAAAAUAGCUAUUAUAGGACUCUAAUCGUGCGGCUUCUUCGAAAUAGGAUUCUUAACGUUUGUUUAUCUGAAAUAGGACUCUAAACGUUGAUAAUAAGCUGUAAUGACAUUUUGUGUCUUUUUCAUUUCUUUUUUUAUCUAAAUACAUGUAUUUGUUCCUAAAAUGACCCUUUUAUCCUUCAGUCAUUAAACUGUUAUGGUAGUCUCCAUUACAGAAAAAAAAACAUCAUAGCUUCCUGGCCUGUGUGUUGCCUUGUCCAGCUUAUUUUUUUUUAAUAAACUGAUGCCUUGCUGCCAUGCCGCCAUGGUCGUGGCUGCCGUGCUGGCUGGCCAUGGUCAUGGCAAAUAUUGGAUGUCGGCCAGGUAUCUCGCGCUGCUAGUGCUUCGCGCUGCCUGCAGCCUGAUGUCCAGGCAGAGAUCGCCAGCCACUGUUGGGGGCUCGGCUGAUUUUGGGGAUUGUAACGGAGGGUGAGAGUACCAAGACCGAAAGCAGGUAAGACGGGUGUUGUGCCGUGCCAACUAGAUCACACAUCUGCUGAUCUGCCUAAUCCAAUCGGUCUUGGAGUGUCACCUGAAAUGUUUCACGCUUAAAAAUCGAGUAAGAAUCACUUUAGCAAAAUUGUAUGGAUAACAUGCUAGAUCUUGGCGAAAAACAAUUCGGCUCUAAUUAACAAGCUUAAAUUACAAAUUCAACUGAGCUAAAAUUGAGCCGAACUUGAUACUCGCACUGCUCGAGGGCUAGAGAUCCUUUCACAUCUGUAAAUGACAAGUGACCCACUGUACAUAAGCUUGUUUGUUUGUUCAUGCAUCUCUAUUGCUCCGGCUUCUUGUCUCUGGCCUUCUGCAUGUCCACCAUCUUUAAUUUCUCCUUGAGGCAAGAUGUCAUCUGAAUCACCACCAUCUUUAAUUUCUCCUUGUGGCAAGAUAUUAUCUGAAUCACCAUUUUCAUGUUCUACUUGUUUGCUUUUGCAGAAAUAAAUUGUUAAGGCGACCACAAGAGAGGUGGUUGAGGCAACUCCAGUGGCAAUAGUCGGUCCUGCGAAACUGUCAAAGGUGAGUGUACCUGAACCAGAGAUGGUGCCCACAUUUUGGCAGUUGUUUUGAUCUCCUAUCCAUUUCUUCUCAAUCCGAGUUAUAGUGUCUCCCCCUGUUAUGUUGAGGAUUGCUUGUGAGAUGUCACCUAUUAUUGGCGAUCCCUUCUGAAGUGCCUGUGGAAGAAGGUGCCCGUGUAAAAAACAUGACCCAACUAAGACUAUUAUGCAUCAUUGUGGAAACUAGAAUAAAGAUGAAUCUGAACUUGGUUAUGCCAAAGUAAUUUUAAUAAACAUAGCUAAACUUACAUAUCCAAAACCUGCAUUCUUAUAUAUUGGUCCAACCAUGGUGUAUCCCUUGCAAUGCUCCGCAAGGAAUAAUUUGAGGUAUGGGAUUUCAUCCACAAGGGCAGCAACACCACCAUUCUUGCAUCCUCUGGAAAGCUCAUCAUGAAACUCUUCAGGGCUUUCAUAGGGCUUGAUCUUUGAUACCUCAAAGCCUAUUUCUUCCAAAAGAUCCUUGAUGUAGGAACCAUGAGGAUACCCAACACAUUCUCCAGCUUUGAGAAGUUCUUCGACAUUUGUUACAGUUGGGUAGAGCUGUUGAACAGUUAGCAUGGAUGUCAAGCUUGCAGUGUAGCUUGACUUGAGUACCAGAAGGAAAAACAGCCAUAUGACCAACACGAUCCGAGAGAUAAGGCGUUUCACCUUCUCUUCUGCAGAGAGUUAACAUACUUUUCAGAUAGUAUAAAUCAAAGUUAAAAAGUACAUAGUUCAUAAUGUCCAGAUUUGCUAAUCUUUACAUGCAUACGGUGAUAUAAUGCCAAUAUAUUCCUUCUUGCAUCUGUAAAAUUUUGUAUUGGCUUGAUAGUUCUCAGCACAACUGCACAAUAUUUGUCCCUGUUUGAUCACAUCUGUGCUGUAAGACAUCAGACAUGUCUUAUGGACUCUGUGCAUUUGGUGGAAACCAUAUAACAUUACACAUUAUUUUUCUGAGUUGUGAAAGCUUGUGCAUGGCAUUAACUAGGUAUGAAAAAGGUGUAUCAACUUGAUCAUUAUGCUAUAUCUAUCCAAAAAUUUACUAGAAAAAGAGUUACACUAAGGCACUCACUCUCUUCAAACAGGGAAAAAUAUAUCAUCGUAGCUAGCUGUCGGGGAACUGGACCAUGAAUGUUCUUGUUGUUGCCUAGAAGCUCUAAAAACCAUAUCACAAUGCCUGUGUAGAUAAAGAGUAUUAUGGUCCCAAUCCACAUGCCAGGUGUGAGUGGCUUCAGGAAAAUCCAUGUAUUCUUGCUUAUGCUUUCCCUGACAGGAACAACCAUUGCUAUCCCUGAUUGUGUAUGGCUGAGUGAAGUCGACAUACAAACUUCUGUUGUACCUAAUUGUUAUGUCUCCAACUGCUAUAUCAUAUUUCUGUCAGGGUGCAAAAAAAAGUUUAACUAAGAGCUGUAAAGAGGAACAAAUUAAACAAGAAAAGUUAUGACCUCUAUGUAAUCAGAUUGGUAGGACUAUUUUGUGAAAACUAAAUUCUGAUGUUUAAUGUGCAAGGUUGAGCAUUUAUGGAUUAAUAGUAAAACAAAAUAAUUUACCUCAGCAAUAUAGAAACAUAUUUAUGACAGUCAUGAUUAAUACAUGACAAAAUACGGAAAAAUGGAAUUGUGUGUUAUGCCAGUACAUGGCAUCCGUUGUUUUUUUGAAGGUCGGCAUCCGUUGUUUUCAUUUCAUCUACAAUAAGAAUGACAAAGGGCUUAUAGCUUGUCUUCUAUUAUGGUAUAACUGUCAGAAAUUUAUAUUUAUUUGAAAUAACAGCAUGGUAUUGGAAAUAUCAGAUGUUGAAAAGCAUAAUGUGUGCAGUUAUAGUUUCAACUUGAAAAAAAAAACCCAAUAUAUUUCUUAUCUUAAAUGUAAAUUUAUUUGAAAUAACAGCAUGAUAUUGGAAAUACUAGAUCUUGAAAAGCAUAAUGUGUGCAAUUAUAGUUUCAACUUGAAAAUAAAACCAAUAUAUUUCUUACCUUAAGAUAAACUUGAUUGACAAAAUCAUCGUAGCUUGAACUUGAAUUCUUCGUGAUGUUAAAUACUACAUAUUCAUAAGGGAGUGCAUAAGGUAGUCUCUUUACUGCCUCCUCAAAAACAUCAAUUGCAAUGCCACUUGCUUUAAUCACACCUGUGAUGGAAUUUUCAACAACAUCUAUGUAUUUUUGAUAUUUAUUUCCUGUGACUACACCAACUUGAAGCUUCUUCCCAUUUGUUGGAAUCUCCCAGCCCCUUGGGAUCUUAGUAGAUUCGCCUGGCCAAAUCACAAUUUUCAGAUCAUGUGUGGUGUUCCGGUAUUUUAUGUUUGACCUCUGGUCUAAUUGCUGUGACAGUCCAUUUUGUGCAGUCCAAAACCCAAUCACUCUCUGUGCUUUUCCAACUACAUUUAUUAUUUGAAACUUGGAAACUUGCAGCUGCCCAUCUGAAAGGUCAAAGUCACCACUUAAACCUUCAAAUUUAUUUUGCAAGAUUGCCUUUAGGAUUGCUGGACCAUUUCUUGAUUUUUUCAAGGCUCCCAAACUUGUAGAGUUUUUCAGUGCAGGUGGUCUCAGAAAUUUUGCUUGUCUCAGAAUUUUUGCUUUAGUAACCUUGGCCUUUUCUGCUGCUUGAGCUAACCCCCAGAUCGUAUCAUAGCUCCAUAGUCCAAAGAUGUUUAAUUUCAAUGUUGGGUCAUUUGGAUGAUCAUUUCGUGACCUCAUAUACCAUCUCAUGGUGAAGCUAUCAAGUUCUUUUGAUUUAGGAACAUAGGACUCGACCCCCAAGGCACCAUUCAUUGCUUCCACGACUGAAGGAUUUAGUAAAUCAAUGAGAUUUGCUAGUCGAUCUGUUAUAAUCCAUACAAACCCCUCGCUCAUCAUCCCAAUUUCCUUUGCUUUUGUGAAGAAUAGGGAGCCCAAAGAUGGGGACAUGUGCACCACAAAGACCCUUGUUUGCAUUGUCAUCAACUUGUAGAGUUCUUGGACAAUUUGUUCACCUGUUGCUGAUUCAUCUAGCACACUCCGGUAGGGAACAUGGACAUCUUUUCCUUCGAGGACAUCGACAAGGUCUGCAAUAAUACCUUUACCGUCAUCGUUGUCCAUGUAGAUAGGCACCACCUCUCUCCAUCCAUAAGUUUUGAUUAUGGAGGUGAUGCUACUCACUUGUACAGAGUCAUUCACUGUUGCUCGAACAAAAUACGGAAGGUAAUGUGAAGAUAAAUAUGUGCUUCUUGCUGUGAACGAUAUAACUGGGACUUGACACUUAUUUCCAAGAGCUGAUACAAACACAGCUUGAGAAGAAUUCUGUGGUCCAAUGAUAGCUUGGACAUUGUAGUUCUCCAGCAAGUCAAUGACUGUAAAAUUGGAUGUAGAGAUAGGCUGUAGCUUUUUAGUGCAAAGCAAAUGUCUUCUAUUCACAAACUCUGUACGCAGAAUGGGAUAACAUGGAAUAGCUCUACUAUUUCAACGUAGGUUUUGUGAGAGAUGGAUUGCUUACUAGAAUUCAUUCACUGUACUGUUCAGAUGUAAUAGCAAUGAAUUGGGUGGUUCUGUUGGUCAGAUCUUUUCAAGCAUUUAGUUCAACACUUACGCCCCCUGCCCCCCUUCUUCCUUUAUUUCUCGAUUAUCUCCCAAAUCUCAUAUCUCAAAACAUGUUUUGGUGUCAUAUGAACAUAUGAAGCUACCAUUAAAUUCAUUUCAAUUUGAACAUGCAUUACCAUCAAUGAAGGAACUGUGGGGAAAUCAGCCUAUACAGUAUUUCAAAAUUUAUGUGCCAUUGCAUAAGUGAUUUUUCAACACAUGGUUGCCAGUGUCAUAAAACUGUGCUAUUUCAGAAAAAAAACAUAUGCUCAUCUAAUGCAUCGAUGCUUCUUGUUUUCUGCAUCAAAACCACUACAGGUAGAUCCCUUAGGUAAAUGCUAAAAUUCAGCAGUGGUAUUGUUGAAAGUUCAUAUAUAAUUGUCUAGUAUUUAUCCCCAUAUUACAACAUAAGUAGUCAUCAAAUUGGUUAAUUAUUUGGUUAUAGGUUGAAAGACCCUUCUGCCUUCUCAUUUUCAUAUAAGGAUAUCUGUUUAAUUAGUGCAACAACACAAAUGGAACAUGGCAUCUUUAUGGACUAUUCCAGAUUUACUUUGUGUCCAAAAGAUCAAACUUCUGAAAUACUAAAUGCAAAAACAAUAGAACGUCAGUCCAUAGCCAAGCAUGUAAUUUACCUGCAGCUGCAGCCUGCACAUCAUCAGUCAUGGAAUCCCUGACAUGGAGGACAAGCCGAGUGGUGUAGUUCGGAU
rnacentral:lncRNA from 1 species